UCCUGCCAAAAAGAAAAAGAGGUACUCUAAGAGGUGUCCCCAGCCCUUUAUGACUCGCUUUUCCUUAGACCAGCCUCUGAAGUUCUACAGUAGUAUCUGCCACAUCUUACAAACCCUAGAGCAGUGAUGGUGAACAUUUUAGAGCUUUCAAUGAUAUAAACAGCCCGCUGCAGCACAUGCAUAGGUUUGCCACCACUGCCCUAGAGCAAUGGUGCUCAACUAAGGAGGUUUUGCCCUCCUAGAAGAAAGUCAGCAAUAUCUGGAGUCAUUUUAGUUUUCUUAACUGCAGGAGGAGAUAACCUAGACAUCUACUGGAUAGAAGCCAAAGAUGCUGUAAACAUCCUGCAAUGUACAGAACAAGUCUUCUACAACAGAGAAUUAUCCACUCCAAAAUGCCAUCGUGCCAAGGCUAAGAAAUAGUGCUCUAGAGGGCAGAAAAAAUAAGCUUAGCAUGAGGAAAGACAGAAAUGAAGCAGGGAAAUGCACAACGCUGCUGUCAUUGCAGACUGUAAAUGAGCACAAAUGACCAAAGGUUCUUUUUUUUUUUUUUUUUGGUAUCAGGGAUCGAACUCAGGUCUUUCCGGUUGUGAAGCAGGCAGUGGAACCACUGAGCUAAAUCCCCAGCCGACCAAAGGUUUUUAAACCAUUCCAAACCCUGUAAACAGUCUAGUCUUCUCUUUGGCCCUGAUCCCAUGGUGUAGCUCAUGAUCUGGGUACUCCUAAGACCCCCCACCCAAACCUAUCCUCCUCAACAUGGCCCAUGCCCACUACUCACAAACAGCCUUGCCUUAGCUGGCAGGGGACUCUGAGCUUCAGCAUCAACAGGAAGAACCCAGGAUGGCAGCAUGGCCCACCAGGAAAACACUGAAGAGGGUUCUAGCUUUGACUCUGCCUUUAGGAAAACCACUCAACCACUCUGAGGCUAGUUUCCUCUUCUGCAAAAUGGAGCUAAAAAUCACAGGCUUCCCUACUUAACUUACAGACUUCUCUGAGUUUCAAAACCAGAUUAUGUAUGUGAAAGUGCUUUGGAUGCCAUAAAAUCCUGUUCAAAUGUGAAGCACUCCCCUAUAGAUGCUCACACUGUGGAGAGGAUAUUAUAAAAAUUAUUCCCAAUGAUAGGAUUCUAUCCAGUGGUAUCUAUGUGCACUCUGGAAUAUGGAGUUCUGGCCUCCUAGGAACAUGAAGGACACCAGAACCCACUGUGAUGCAGUCCACUCCAGGAUCCCCAAGGCACAAAGCUGAGUCUGCCCGCUGAAGAAGCUGAUGCUCAGAAAUAUGAGGAAACUUGCCCAGGAUCCCAAAACUACGGAGUAGAAUGUGAACUCAGACCUUGGCUGGAACAUUCUGAGUACUCAGCUCGGCCCACUGCACACUUUGAGAGCAACACUGAUGGACAGAACAUUCAGAGGACAGUAACAAGGAGGGAACACAAACACCAGCCAAAGGACAGUCAGUGCAACAGAAGUGUGCAGGCCUGAGAUGUAAGCACCAUCUUUCUAUAGCCCUCAUGCAGGAGGAGGAUCAGGCCUGUUCUUUGUGGCCCCAGGACACAGAAUUAGCAACCUGUUUUCUAGUUCACAGCUGCCUAGUGUCAAAGCUGAGGUUUGCCCCCAAGCAUUCUGCCUCCAAGAAGACUCUACAUUUUUUUCAGCCACCCAGGCUGCUUCCCUAUGGAGCUACUACCCCAACCUGCAUCUGAGGCCCUGGCUCUGUGUAUGAGCCCUGAAACACUGGAAACAAGUUAGAUGCUAGCUCCUGCCUCAGAGACUGGUGGCCUGCACACAUCUUCACAGGCUGUUCUCCAGUAUCUCACUCUUCACAACUCAACCCAGCUCUGGACAACUCAAGAUUUCCCCAGCACUCCAGGCUGGCUCAAAUGUCCUCCUGUUUAGUUAAAAUUCCAAAUAAAAUCUAUCUUUAAUUUCAAAUCAUAUUAUAAACCUACUCUGCAGGCAUUCAAAAAAAAAGUAAUCUCCCUGCCAAAGGGGGCAAAAAAGAAUUCUGUCAUUUGCAUCAAAGAUGCCAGCAUGUUUGGAGAGUCAACACACAGGACCUCUCUGACAAGCCACCUGUCUUUUUCUUUUUCUUGGUACCAGGGAUCGAACUCAGGACCUUGUGCUUGCCAGGCAGACACAGCACCACUGAGCUACAUCCCUGGCCCCACCUGUCUUAAAAAGUAAACCAAACCCAGUUUGGGCAAUCAUUUCUUCAAACAAGAAACGUAAGAAUUGGGCUGGGAAUUUAGCUCAGUGGUGCCACCCCUGCCUCAUAAGCUCAAGGUCCCGAGUUCGAUCCCCGAUACCAAAACAAAACAAAACAAAAAGAAAUAUAAGUAUCACCAAGGGAAAUUCCCAGUCCUCAGUUCCCUGGGUAGGUUUCAGGUUCUCCAUCCCUGGGAUGUUGGGAUAGGAGAUCCUGCUUGCACAUGCACCAUUAAGAUACUACGGCUUGGGGCUAGGGAUUUAGCUCAGUGGUUCUGCCGCCUGCCUCGAAAGCGCAAGGUCUGGAGUUCGAUCCCCAGUACCAAAAAAAAAAAAGAUAUUAUGGCUUUCAACCUGAUGCCUUGAUAUUCCAGAGAACCAAAUGGUCACCUUCACUAUAAAUUUAACUUAUUAAGAUGUCUUCCCAUAUGCUGAUGUUUUAGAGCAAUUUUAUUAAACAUGAGAAUGCCAUCCUUGUUCCAGCAAUGAGCAGAACUAAAUGAAGAUAUAUUUCCCAUGAGCUCCUGGCCUCUCUGCAUCAAAUAUUCUCAGCUGAACCUAAAUUAACCUGUAAACGAACUAAUUUGCAUCCAUAAAUCCACAGAAAUGUACCAAUGUAUAGAGUUUAAGAUACUCAGUCUCCACUUCCCAAUCUCAUACAAUUCUCUUAUUAAACUACAAUAUGAUCCUUUCUACAAACCAUUUUCCUCUUUAUAAAAAUAGGAAAAAAGGGAGACCUAAACCACCUACGGUAGAUAUUUCCUUAGCUAGUUACCAUGCCAUAAAAAGAAAAAAAUCUUUGAUACAUUUAUUUUUCUUAGGGAGAAAACCCACAGAGCAGUUUACAAAGGUACCAUAAAACACGUAAAUUUGAAGCCAGGCAUGGUGGUGCACACCUGUAAUCCCAACACUGGUCAGUCUGAGUCUACCUGAGGAACUUGAGGAUCACCUCAAGUUCAAGGCCAGCCUGGGCUACAUGGUGAGUUCAAGGACAGCCUGAACUAUAUGGCAAGACCUGUCUCAAAAAACCAAAACCAAAAAGUCUUAAUAUUUGUCAGCUCACCUAGACCACAAUUCCAGUUUCCAUCCAGCUCUCAGUGAGAGAACUUUUCCGUUCUGACAAUUAAACCCCAGAAAUCUGAUCACUGAUAACUUUAUCAAAAAGAAAA